AAACUUUCUGAUUUUUUAACAGUUGAGUGAAAAAGAAAAUAUUCAUAAUUUUUCUGAGGGAAGUGAGAGACACUUUUGCAUUCAUAAAAACCGCAGAUCAAAAUACUUCUUCCUAUUUAGGGACAUCCAGCAAGAUGUUUAGGGAAGGGAAUUACGAAGUCUGGCAGAUGCUUCUGGAUUAGAGCAACUGACAAAGGAUCCCCCUCCAUUACCUGAAGAGUCUUGCUGUGUUUGUAUAUUCAGAGUGAUUUCUUGGCAAUUGAGAUCUAAAGAAGGAAUGAAGAUCAAUGAGCAGAGUUAACAUCAC
rnacentral:lncRNA from 1 species